UGGGGAAUAUUGCACAAUGGACGAAAGUCUGAUGCAGCAACGCCGCGUGGAGGAUGACACAUUUCGGUGCGUAAACUCCUUUUAUAUGGGAAGAUAAUGGCGGUACCAUAUGAAUAAGCACCGGCUAACUCCGUGCCAGCAGCCGCGGUAAUACGGAGGGUGCAAGCGUUACUCGGAAUCACUGGGCGUAAAGAGCGUGUAGGCGGGUAGUUAAGUCAGAAGUGAAAUCCAAUAGCUCAACUAUUGAACUGCUUUUGAAACUGAUUACCUAGAAUAUGGGAGAGGUAGAUGGAAUUUCUGGUGUAGGGGUAAAAUCCGUAGAGAUCAGAAGGAAUACCGAUUGCUAAGGCGAUCUACUGGAACAUUAUUGACGCUGAGACGCGAAAGCGUGGGGAGCAAACA
rnacentral:rRNA from 1 species